rnacentral:tRNA from 1 species
AUUUAUAUAGUUUAUCAAAAACAUUACAUUUUCAAUGUAAAAAAAAAAUUUUUUUUUUAUAAAUU